rnacentral:rRNA from 1 species
GACGAACGCUGGCGGCGUGCUUAACACAUGCAAGUCAAGGGGGCCCGCAAGGGCAACCGGCGAACGGGUGCGUAACACGUGAGCAAGCUUCCGAUUUGUGGGGGAUAGCCGGCCCAACGGCCGGGUAAUACCGCAUACGUUCACUGGACGGCAUCGUCUGGUGAGGAAACCUCCGGGGCAAAUCGAGGCGCUCGCGGCCUAUCAGCUAGUUGGCGGGGUAAUGGCCCACCAAGGCUACGACGGGUAGCUGGUCUGAGAGGAUGGCCAGCCACAUUGGGACUGCGACACGGCCCAGACUCCUACGGGAGGCAGCAGUGGGGAAUAUUGCGCAAUGGACGAAAGUCUGACGCAGCGACGCCGCGUGUGGGAUGAAGCCUUUCGGGGCGUAAACCACUGUUGCCCGGGACGAAACUCCUUUUUCGAGAGGAUUGACGGUACCGGGUGAGGAAGCACCGGCUAACUCUGUG